rnacentral:tRNA from 1 species
CAAAUUAGAUCUUGUAUAUAAGUAUUUCAUUUACAUUGAAAAGAAAUUAUUUUUAAUUAAUUUGA